rnacentral:rRNA from 1 species
UCGAGGAUCUUCGUCAAUGGGCGCAAGCCUGAACGAGCGACGCCGCGUGUGCGAUGAAGGCCUUCGGGUUGUAAAGCACUGUCGAGGGGGAUCAAGGGCAACUUGAGUGAUCCCUGGAGGAAGCACGGGCUAAGUUCGUGCCAGCAGCCGCGGUAAGACGAACCGUGCGAACGUUGUUCGGAAUCACUGGGCUUAAAGGGCGCGUAGGCGGCCCGCAAGGUCGGGGGUGAAAUCCCACGGCUCAACCGUGGAAGGGCCUUCGAUACCGGCGGGCUGGAGGAAGGUAGGGGUGCGCGGAACUUCUGGUGGAGCGGUGAAAUGCGUUGAUAUCAGAAGGAACGCCGGCGGCGAAAGCGGCGCACUGGACCUUUUCUGACGCUGAGGCGCGAAAGCUAGGGGAGCAAACGGGAUUAGAUACCCCCGUAGUCC